GAUGAAUGCUGGCGGCGUGCCUAAUACAUGCAAGUCGAGCGAACAGACGAGGAGCUUGCUCCUCUGACGUUAGCGGCGGACGGGUGAGUAACACGUGGAUAACCUACCUAUAAGACUGGGAUAACUUCGGGAAACCGGAGCUAAUACCGGAUAAUAUAUUGAACCGCAUGGUUCAAUAGUGAAAGACGGUUUUGCUGUCACUUAUAGAUGGAUCCGCGCCGCAUUAGCUAGUUGGUAAGGUAACGGCUUACCAAGGCAACGAUGCGUAGCCGACCUGAGAGGGUGAUCGGCCACACUGGUACUGAGACACGGUCCAGACUCCUACGGGAGGCAGCAGUAGGGAAUCUUCCGCAAUGGGCGAAAGCCUGACGGAGCAACGCCGCGUGAGUGAUGAAGGUCUUCGGAUCGUAAAACUCUGUUAUUAGGGAAGAACAAAUGUGUAAGUAACUAUGCACGUCUUGACGGUACCUAAUCAGAAAGCCACGGCUAACUACGUG
rnacentral:rRNA from 1 species